rnacentral:rRNA from 1 species
UGGGGAAUAUUGGACAAUGGGCGAAAGCCUGAUCCAGCCAUGCCGCGUGUGUGAAGAAGGCCUUUUGGUUGUAAACUUCUUUUGCUCUGAACAAGGCGCACCAUGGGGUGUGUUGAGUGUAGGGGUUGAUUAGCGCCGGCUAACUACGUGCCAGCAGCCGCGGAAUACGUAGGGCGCGAGCGUUGUCCGGAAUUAUUGGGCGUAAAGGGCUUGUAGGUGGCUGGUUGCGUCUGUCGUGAAAGCUCAUGGCUUAACUGUGGGUUUGCGGUGGGUACGGGCUGGCUUGAGUGCAGUAGGGGAGGCUGGAAUUCCUGGUGUAGCGGUGGAAUGCGCAGAUAUCAGGAGGAAUACCGGUGGCGAAGGCGGGUCUCUGGGCUGUUACUGACACUGAGGAGCGAAAGCAUGGGGAGCGAACAGG